UAAGCUUCAAUGUCGUGUUAUUGC
rnacentral:siRNA from 1 species